CCUACGGGGGGCAGCAGUGGGGAAUAUUGCACAAUGGGCGCAAGCCCGAUGCAGCCAUGCCGCGUGUGUGAAGAAGGCCUUCGGGUUGUAAAGCACUUUCAGCGGGGAGGAAGGCGUUAAGGUUAAUAACCUUGGCGAUUGACGUUACCCGCAGAAGAAGCACCGGCUAACUCCGUGCCAGCAGCCGCGGUAAUACGGAGGGUGCAAGCGUUAAUCGGAAUUACUGGGCGUAAAGCGCACGCAGGCGGUCUGUCAAGUCGGAUGUGAAAUCCCCGGGCUCAACCUGGGAACUGCAUUCGAAACUGGCAGGCUAGAGUCUUGUAGAGGGGGGUAGAAUUCCAGGUGUAGCGGUGAAAUGCGUAGAGAUCUGGAGGAAUACCGGUGGCGAAGGCGGCCCCCUGGACAAAGACUGACGCUCAGGUGCGAAAGCGUGGGGAGCAAACAGGAUUAGAUACCCCGGUAGUC
rnacentral:rRNA from 1 species